UCUUGAUUUCGCGCACUCUCUCGCCGGUCAUAGAGGCGAGAGAGCGUAAGAAAUGAAGAGA
rnacentral:pre_miRNA from 1 species